GUAUACAAGAAGCUCUCAUGCAGGAACCCGGUCCUGAAUGCACCUUAGAAGCAGAACCAUUUGCCUCAAGGCUACAUUACAAUGUUUGGCAGGAAAAAACCUGAACCCCUGGUUGUCUUACAUCGCAGACCUUGUGCUCAGUAAUGCCGUUAUCAUUGCCUUACUAAUCAAUGAAGAAAAAGAAUACAGACUGAAGUUCAGAGUUCAUUUCUUGAUUAUACAACCUUAUCUACUUAAUGGCUAAUCUCAUUUACUCAGAGAAACCUAGAAUUCCUAUUGGUGAAAGUCCAUGUCUAUGUGACCUCCUCAGAGUAUAUAAAACUGGAAAGCAAAUUAAUUCGUCUAGAGUCAUUUCAGUCACUGUUAGCUGGUGCCAUGGAGCCUCUAGGGACAGUGACGAUUUUGAUGAUCAUAUGUAUCUCUUGCCUUGUUUUCCUUGCAGCCAGAAGCAGAACGCCAGAGAAUGCAAAGCAGCUGCCACCUGGCCCACCUCCACUGCCCAUCGUAGGGAACGCUCUGCAGCUGAAGACCAACAACCUGGCCCAGGUUCUCCAGGAGGAAUUGUAUUCAGCAAUGGGGAGAUGUGGAAGCAGCUCCGACGUUUUGCCCUUACCACCCUGCGCAACUUUGGCAUGGGAAAGAAAAGUAUUGAGGAGAGGAUCCAGGAGGAAGCACAGUUCCUGCUAGAAAAGUUCCAGGAGACGCAGGAGAAGCCCUUGGAUCCAACCUACUCGCUCAGUUGCGCUCUCUCCAAUGUCAUUUGUGCAAUUGUCUUUGGGAAACGAUACGAUUAUAAUGACAAGAAGUUCCUAUCCAUGAUGAGCUUAAUGAAUGAAAACUUUCAGGUUUUUAGCUCUUCUUGGGGACAGCUCUACAACCUCUUUCCUUCUUUGAUGAAAUGCAUCCCUGGGCCCCACCGCAAACCGCUGAAAAACAACUUGGCACUCAGAGAGUUUGUUUUGGAGGAGGUUGAAGAGCACAAGCCCACUCUGGACCCCAGCUCACCUCGGGAUUUUAUCGACUGCUUCCUUAUGAAAAUGGAUCAGGAAAAAGGUUAUAGUGCAUCCCAUUUCACCAUUGAAAACUUGGCCAUAAGCACAGUUGACUUGUUUGCGGCUGGAACAGAGACCACCAGCACCACACUGCGAUACGGGUUCAUGAUCCUCCUCAAAUACCCAGAGAUACAAGAGAAAGUGCAUGAAGAAAUUGACCGAGUUAUUGGCCGAUCACGAAGUCCUUGCAUGGCAGAUCGUGGGGAAAUGCCUUACACAGAUGCUGUCAUCCAUGAGAUCCAGAGGUUCAUCUCUCUCCUCCCACUGAGCGUCCCUCAUGCAGUACUCAAAGACACACCGUUCAGACAAUAUGUCAUUCCAAAGGGCACUACCAUAUAUCCAAGUCUGACAUCUGUGCUACAUGACAGCAAAGAAUUUCCAAACCCCAAAGAAUUUGACCCGGGACAUUUCUUGCACAAAGAUGGCACCUUCAGGAAGAGCGACUAUUUCAUGCCUUUCUCAGCAGGGAAGCGGAUAUGUGCGGGGGAAGGUCUGGCCCGUAUGGAGAUCUUCUUGUUCUUGACCACCAUAUUACAGAACUUCACUCUGAAGUCCAUCAUUGACCCCAAGGACAUCGAUCUCACACCUGUGUUGAGCAGCAUAGGCAACUUCCCUCGGCCCUAUCAGCUCUGCAUUGUCCCUCGCUGAAAAGCCUGCCUCAGGAGGGCUGCACAUGUGGAAAAGUCGCAGCUUGGCAAAUCUUUGUUCAAAAAACCCAUAACACAAUAUCUCCUCACGUGUGGAGCCCUAUCUUCUUACCUGACUAUUUGUUGAAAUGUUUCUUUGGGGAUCUUGCUAGAGACUAUUUCAUGUUGAAGACAUUAUUGCAAAGGACAAAUAGCAGGAUUUAGAAAUUAGUCCCACACAAAAAAAUCCCAUUUUUAUCUUUCUUGCCCCUUCAUAUGCAUAUGUGUGCAGCAGCGUAGCUAGCCGCUGGAGUGACUGGUGCAUGGGCGUGUCCUGCAGCCAGGGGUGUGUCGAGCCACCCAUGGGGGUGGGGCGAACCUCUCCAAUGCUUGGAGCCUCUCUGCCGCCUCCCCCUCAGCUGUAGGGCGUCUGAGGGAGAGGCAGUAGGCAGACACAAAUCCCACAUUGCAGCGCGAAACUUGCAGGUGCCUAAGCCACCAUGUCACUCCAAAAAAUUUCAUGAGCCCAAUUUUUUAAAAACUCAUUUUGUCACACACCCCUCCAUGAUGACAUCCGGGGCAGACUGUACCCCCCACCCCCUUCCUCCACCACUGUAUUUGUGUGAUGGGCAAAAUCUGCCAAGAUGUAAGCUUUUUAGCCACUGAGUCUUGUUACUCUUUGGGCUAAAUGAAGCCAAUCAGAGUGGAAGGAACUGAGUCAACCACUGAGGAACUGGCAACCCUCAACGGUGGUUGGAGUCUUGCACCCAUCACCCCUGAUGUUGGCUGGGGCAGAUGGGGGCUGGAGUCCAGGAAUAUCUGAAGGGCUGCAGGUUCCCCAUUCUUGCCAUGAGGGCUCAGUUGGGACAACUCCCAUAAUCCCAUUUCAUUGGCUAGGUGGCUGGAGAUAAUGGGAGCUGCAGUCCAGCAACAAAAUCUCCAACCUUGACUUGGUGGGUUGAAGUGCUGCAGGCUGUAGAAGCUGGGUGGGUUGAGACCCCUGUCUGAGAUGACCUUUUCAUUCCCUCGCAUGUCGUACCUGAGAUACAGCAAAGUUGUUUAACUGAGUGACAACAUAAGCUUUUUUGGUGACCCUUCUAUAGAUCUGUACACUGAGAUUGGCAGGUAUGUCGAUGCUAAUAAUAAAGCACAGGCAGACAAUUUUAUUUGGAAAGAUAGUCCAAUAAACUCAGUUUGGAGUUUCCUGGUGCUAGAACAAAAUGUAUUUCACUUUCAGCCUGAGCUAAGAAGGAAAGUCUUUGGAGGGUGCUGCAGAAAUCAAUAGCUUUUAAAAUCUUUACCCCUUUCAACUAGUAGAACAUCCUUGAGACUUGACAUUUACAAAUGUUUGCCAAUAAUUCCUUUAAGGGUAACCAUGUUCUAAAGAACAGAUAGCAAUACUGGAUGCAACUGAACUUCUGAGUAAGUAUGGGAAAUGAACUAAGCACAGAGCAUAGAUGGGCAAGAUCUCCCAAGCCUACCUUGGAUGAACUUGGAAAUCAUCCAAGCUCUUCCAGGAUAAGAAAACUAUUUUUUUUCCUCCUGAGCCCAACUGAGGCUCUCACUGUCUUUAAAAAUCUAGAACUGAGAAAAUAGCUCUCCCUCAAAUUCUCCACUUACUUUGUGGGUGGCAAAAUAAGGAAGGUCAUUGUGGCGUUUGCCCUCCUAGGUGUGUGACAUCAUACUGGGUUCAUAAGGAAAGGGUUAACUAAUUGUAAAAUGACUAACCUAUAGGAACCCAAGGGGAGAAGUUAGAGUUGGUGUUAGAGUUGUUAAGAAGUCAGUUGAGAGUUAGAGAAGGGAGAGGGAGGAUAAGUGUGUGGGUUGGGCUAGUUUGAUGUGAGAACGUGAGAGAAUCAGUUAAGAGGAGUCAGUUAUACAGUUGGGAUAAU